CCUGGAGCACGUGUAUGAACUAGGUGCCACGUGGAGACUUUUUCAGGCACUGUCUCAUUUAGUCCUUGGUUACUUCUCUCAGCCUCCUCCUCCUUUCCCACUUGGAACUCAGAUGAGCUCAGAAACCAUCUACAGGGCUGUGAUGAGGCUUAAAGGAGUUGCCAGGUGGGAGCGUGCCAGCAGGGAGAGUGCAGUGAGCGCUUGGUAAAGGUAACAGCAGGUGAUGUGCUCCCCACGGAACCUUCCCACCCCCGGACCACGUGGUGAGGAGGGAGCAGUGCAGGCAGGUGCUCUGGGUGUAGGAAGCUCCUCGACCUGACACUAGGCAGGCAUCUGGCCGGGAGGGGAGACUCCGGAGGAGUACUGGAUAGGUGGGAAGCUGGACUGAGACCCAGCUUUGAUGGUUUCAGCUCAGGAGUGGACAUCUUCCGAGAGCUACGCUAGGCAAGGGUGAGGGUAGAUUGCAUGACAAAUAAGACCCGGGUCCACGAAUGGGCGACAUGGACACCCCCACUCAAGUCCAAGCUCACUGUGUGCUGGGGCCAGGAGGAGAGGCUGAGACUCAUGGGUUAGAGUCUGGGCACACCCAAGAUUCUGAAUUCUACUCUCAGGACCCAGGAGAUGGGUGUGAUGACGUGGACAUUAUGCUUGGAGAAAAACAAUUUUGAUGGGGCUAUACGGCGGUUUGGUCCUUUAAUGAGAGUAAAAGGACUGAGGUCUGGCCUUCUGCGUGGAGCUGUGACCUGAGGGUGGCCUGGAGGGUCAGGUCCCCUGAGCAGUCGAGAUAACUUCCGAUUCUCUCUGGACAAACCCAUGGGGCAUCAGGACACAUCACCCCAACCCUGGAGGGGGACACAGAGAGAGAAGGUGCAGAAGUACUAAAAGUUACAACAGAAGUUCCAACUCAACGCAGAAAGGACAGUUUCCUGACCAGGGGCCUGAAAGAACAGUGGGGCCGUAAAUAAGAUGACUGAGGUCUGAGUUGCUAGUUGUACAGAUGCUGAGUCUGAGAUGCCUGGUGGCUACGUCCAAGCGGCCCUGAGAAUGAAGGUCUGGAACUUGCUAGUGAGAAUGGGCUUGGUGAUGGAGAUCUGAGCAGCAGUGGAUCACCACUCCAAAUCCGGGUCAUAUUAACAUUUUUCUGACUCCAGUCUCACACCUGUAGGCUCAGUUCAUUCUGGAUUCUGAAUGAACUUCGUUUUCCAAAUACCCUCCCUGUUGCUCAAGAACCUGCAGUGCCAUCUACAGCGCAGACUGCAGGUUCCUCAGGCUGCGGGUGAAGAGGUUCACGGCAGGCCCCAGCACCCUGCUGCAGUUCCACCUGGCCCUGCUCCCAACCACAGCAUCCCCUCCAGGCGGACCGGUCCUCUUGGAGACUGCUGACAACAAGCACACUUCUGCCUCUUUCUAAAGCCUACUGAAACCAUCCGCUGCACCGGAAUGUCCUCCCUCCUUCUAUCUAGUCGCAGAUCACACCUUGUGCAAAGCCCACCUCCAGGGCCACCUCUCCCCUCCCUUGAAGAUCUAGCUUUUACUGUCCAUCAUUCACUUCGCAUUUUAAAAUAUACUGCUUGGUAGCAUCUCUUUCAUAUAUCAACCUAUUAUCUGAAAGGUACUUAAAAGAAAAAAAGACGAGGAAAAAAGAAAGGCCAACAUCAGUACCCUAAGACGGGCAGGAGCUAUUCUCCCCACUUCUGGCUCUCAUUUGGAGAAAGAAUAAAGAAACUAAAAAAAAAAAAAAAAAGAUAGUCUGAGAUGGGACUUAACAUUAGGACAGCUAAGAGGUAGACAGGUAUAUGUGAAAAGCAUUGUUGCAUGGAGACUGGACAAAGUCAAGAAAUGGCCAACAUCAAAGUUGGCGUGUGUCUCUAAUUCCCUAAACUUGCAGAGAUAAGCACAUGCUAACAAGAUCUGGAAUUUCGAAUUAACAGACAUAAACUACCAUAUAUAAGAUGGGUAAAUAACAGGGACUGAGUGUACAGCACAGGGAACUAUAUUCAGUAUCCUGUAAUAACCUAUAAUGAACAAGAAUCUGG
ensembl:lncRNA